ACCCCAAACAAAAUAGGAUAUGCAUGCAAUGGAAAAGAUGUUCGCAAAUUCUGUUUUUCUAUUGCUUGGAGCUCUUUCUUUCAUAGCAACGGUCCAAGGCCAGGAUCAAUCAGGAUUUAUUAGCAUAGAUUGUGGGCUACCUGAAAAUUCCAAUUACACUGAAAAGAACACAGGAAUCAAUUACAUUUCAGAUGCUAAUUUCAUUGAUUCUGGUGUGAGUAAAACUGUGUCACCCCAAGAUAAGACCACUCAUCCACAAUAUUUUAAUUACCUUCGGAGUUUUCCUAAUGGAAUAAGAAAUUGUUACAGAAUAAAUGUAACAAGUGUUACUAGAUAUUUAAUCAGAGCUAGUUUUUUGUAUGGAAACUAUGAUAGUCUUAAUACGCUUCCAGAGUUUGAUCUUUAUCUUGGAGUUCAUUUUUGGGAGACGGUAAAAUUCACAAAUUCUUCAGUCAGCAUAAACUAUGAGAUCAUCCACACUCUAUCGCUGGAUUAUAUCCAUAUCUGCUUGGUUAACAAAGGCACAGGGACACCAUUCAUUUCAGCUAUAGAAAUGAGGGUUUUGGACAAUGUCGACUCUACUUAUAGCACUAUAGACUCAUCUACACGAUUGGCACGAUUCCGAAGGUUGUAUUUUAGUUCUAUCACCAACUUAAUAUACAGGUAUCAAGAUGAUCCUUAUGACCGGAUAUGGGAGCCUUAUUGGGACGACAAGUGGAGACUAAUAAGCAGCAACCAUAGCAAUAAUGCCCUUGAUCAGGAAGCCUUUAAUCCACCAGCAGUUGUGUUAGAGACUGCAGCCACAUCAAUAACUGCUACUGCCUCAUUAGACUUCCAUUGGGAGAAUGAUGACAAUGAAACUCAGCACCAAUACUAUUUCUACCUGCACCUCAUAGAGCUUCAGCAGUUGGGUCAAACAAGAUCAUUCAAUAUCAACAUGGAUGGUAAGACUUGGAAUACAGCUGAAUCACUCAAAUACGGAAAAGUAUACACCAAACAUGUUAGAGGACUUUCCUCUGGAUGCAAAAAGUGUCGCAUUUCACUUAUUCGGACAGAAUCUUCUACCCUUCCACCCAUUAUCAGUGCUCUUGAGAUUUAUUUAGCAAAAGAUUUUCCAUCAUCACAGUUAGAAACCCACAGAGAUGACGCGGAGGCAGUCACAAACAUUAAGAACGCUUAUAGGGUGGAGAGUAGAAACUGGCAAGGAGAUCCAUGUCUUCCCAAUGCAUACAAAUGGCAAGGUGUAGACUGUAGCACUAUUGAUGGCUUUCUAAGAAUCACAUCCUUGAAUUUGUCUUCAAGUGGACUCACCGGACAUAUACUGACUGAUAUCUCCAAGCUUACUAUGUUAAAGUCCUUAGAUUUAUCAGACAAUGGUUUAAGUGGGAAUAUACCUAAUUUUUUGGCGCAACUGCAAUCACUAGAAUACUUAAACUUAGCACACAACAACCUUACAGGUUCAGUUUCAAAUGAACUCCUUCAAAAACAAAGUGAUGGUCGAUUAACCUUGAGUGUGGCGCAAAAUCCAAAUCUUCUAUGUGGAACAACUUCAUGCACCCUGCAAACAAAUGCUACAAGAAAGAAAAAGAAUAAUGCAGUUAUUACAGUGGUAGCAUCAAUUGCAGGGAUAUUGCUGCUUCUAGGGAUUGCAGCAGUUAUAAUCUUUCGCCGAAGAAAGACAUAUGAUGCUGCUAACAACGUUGUGCUUGGGAGGCGUCAUAAUCCAAUUAAGGAGUCAGAAUUGGAAACUAAGCAACGAGAGUAUUCAUUUAAUGAGGUGGUUAAGAUGACCAACAAUUUUGAUAGAAUUCUUGGCAGAGGUGGAUUCGGAACAGUUUACCAUGGCUUUAUUGAGGACAUUGAAGUGGCUGUCAAGAUGCUUUCGUUAUCAUCAGUGCAAGGAUAUCAACAAUUUAUUGCAGAGGUUAAGCUUAGAGUACAUCAUCGAAAUCUGACUUCUCUUGUUGGUUAUUGCAAUGAAGAAACUAAUAUAGGACUCAUCUAUGAAUACAUGAAAAAUGGAGAUUUAGAUAAAAAUCUUUCAGGAAAAAACAAUAGGGGAAGGUCUUUGAACUGGGAAGAUAGACUUCGAAUAGCAGUAGAUGCAGCCCAAGGAUUGGAAUAUCUGCAUAAUGGUUGUAAGCCACCUAUAAUUCACAGAGAUGUGAAAUGUCCAAAUAUUCUAUUAAAUGAAAACUUCCAUGCCAAACUCGCUGAUUUUGGAUUAUCCAAAUGUUUUGCGGCUGAGAGCGAUACACAUGUGUCAACCAAUGUGGCCGGAACUCCAGGCUACCUAGAUCCUGAGUACACAACAUCAAAUAGAUUGACAGAAAAAAGUGAUGUGUAUAGUUUUGGAGUAGUUCUUUUAAGGAUAAUUACAGGUCAACCGGUGAUAAUAAUAAAGGAAGACACAACUCAUCAUAUAAUUCAACGAGUUAAUUCAAUGAUUGCUGAAGGGGAUAUAACAAAAGUUGUUGAUUCAAGGUUACAAGGAGAUUUUGACAAUAACUCUGCAUGGAAAGCGGUUGAAAUAGCAAUGGCCUCUGUAUCUGCCACUUCAGUGCAAAGGCCAUACAUGAGAGAUAUAGUGACACAGUUGAAGGACUGUUUGGCUGCAGAGUUAGCCCGAAAACGGAAGAUUGAAGAGUCAACACUAAAUCACUAAUACAUGGCUGAAGCAAGAACCACCCACUAUGUCAAUUAAAGAAUUUGCUUCUGCUGCAAAGAAAGCAAAUAAUCAAGAGUCUAAGAUUGCAAGAAGAUGCAUGUCGGUUCGUACAUAUGAUAAUGCAAGCAUUCAAUGAUAAACUAAUGGUUCUUGUGCUUACUGAAAGACAUCAGAUGUUUGGUAUUGAGCUUCCAAAAGACCCUGAAAGCAGUGUGAUUUCUUGCCUGAAACUAUUGAAACUGCUAGCCUAUGUGGUGCGGACAAAACUGGUAGCUACUCAAUGCUUGGUUGCACCUAGCUAAAAUGUCUCAAACUAGAAAAUCACCUGCGUUUAGUGUGUGGCUUUUAAUCAAAUGAAGGAAAACUUGAGUCCUCAAGAAGGAAGAGCUUUUCUUCUUUCCGUAAAUCUGAACCAUUCAACUGAUUUUUGGAUAUAUAAAGAGUAAUGAGGUCUGCAUGAAUAAAAGGCAAAGAUGAGGAGGAAAGAGUCUCUCCACAUGAAGGACCCAAAAAUUUGGCACAAAAUUGAAAAUUUCCCUUAUAUGGGUCAUUGAUGAGGUUGAUAGCAGAUGGAAUUGAUGUUCCAACAUCUUGUAUUUUGUUUUUAUUUUUUCCUGAAGUUAUUGCAUGUUCUCCAAAUGUAUAUUUUCUGCACCAAGAUUUUCUUUUUUGCAUAAGAAAUUUCAUGCAGAUAUAUUU